GAUGAACGCUGACAGAAUGCUUAACACAUGCAAGUCAACUGUGGCGGACGGGUUAGUAACGCGUAAAGAACUUGCCUCACAGAUAGGGACAACAUUUUGAAACGAAUGCUAAUACCUGAUACUGUGAGAGAGCUUUGCGUCCCAUUAGCUAGUUGGAGAGGUAACGGCUCACCAAGGCGAUGAUGGGUAGCCGGCCUGAGAGGGUGAUCGGCCACAAGGGGACUGGGACGCGGCCCUUACUCCUACGGGAGGCAGGAGUGGGGAAUAUAGGAAAACGGACCAAAGUAUGAUCAAGCAAUUCUGUGUGUACGAUGAAGUUUUCGGGAUGUAAAGUGCUUUCAGUUGGGAAGCGGUACCAACAGAAGAAGUGACGGCUAAAUACGUGCCAGCAGCCGCGGUAAUUC
rnacentral:rRNA from 1 species